rnacentral:rRNA from 1 species
CCUACGGGUGGCUGCAGUGAGGAAUAUUGGUCAAUGGACGCAAGUCUGAACCAGCCAAGUAGCGUGCAGGAUGACGGCCCUAUGGGUUGUAAACUGCUUUUAUAUGGGGAUAAAGUGGGGAACGUGUUCCCUUUUGCAGGUACCAUAUGAAUAAGGACCGGCUAAUUCCGUGCCAGCAGCCGCGGUAAUACGGAAGGUUCGGGCGUUAUCCGGAUUUAUUGGGUUUAAAGGGAGCGUAGGCCGUUUGGUAAGCGUGUUGUGAAAUGUAGGAGCUCAACUUCUAGAUUGCAGCGCGAACUGUCAGACUUGAGUGCGCACAACGUAGGCGGAAUUCAUGGUGUAGCGGUGAAAUGCUUAGAUAUCAUGAAGAACUCCGAUUGCGAAGGCAGCUUACGGGAGCGCAACUGACGCUGAAGCUCGAAGGUGCGGGUAUCGAACAGGAUUAGAUACCCUUGUAGU